GAUGAAGAACGCAGCGAAAUGCGAUAAGUAGUGUGAAAUGCAGAAUUCAGUGAAUCAUCGAAUCUUUGAACGCACAUUGCGCCCCUUGGUAUUCCAUGGGGCAUGCCUGUUCGAGCGUCAUUUGUACCCUCAAGCUUUGCUUGGUGUUGGGCGUCUUGUCGUAUUACGACUCGCCUUAAAUACAUUGGCAGCCGGCACUUUGGCCUAGGAGCGCAGCACAUUUUGCGAUCGUAGCCCGUUGUACUGGCGUCCAUCAAGAACAUUUACCACGUUUGACCUCGGAUCAGGUAGGGAUACCCGCUGAACUUAAGCAUAUCAAUAAGCGGAGGA
rnacentral:misc_RNA from 1 species